rnacentral:tRNA from 1 species
UCCCUGGUGGCUCAGCUGGUAAAGAAUACACCUGCAAUGUGGGAGAUCUGGGUUCAAUUCCUGGCUUGGGAA